rnacentral:rRNA from 1 species
UGGGGAAUUUUGGACAAUGGGGGCAACCCUGAUCCAGCCAUGCCGCGUGCGGGAAGAAGGCCUUCGGGUUGUAAACCGCUUUUGUUCGGGAAGAAAUCCUCUGGGCUAAUACCCCGGGGGGAUGACGGUACCGGAAGAAUAAGCACCGGCUAACUACGUGCCAGCAGCCGCGGUAAUACGGAGGGUGCGAGCGUUAAUCGGAAUUACUGGGCGUAAAGCGUGCGCAGGCGGUUGUGCAAGACAGAUGUGAAAUCCCCGGGCUUAGCCUGGGAACUGCAUUUGUGACUGCAAGGCUAGAGUGCGGCAGAGGGGAGUGGAAUUCCGCGUGUAGCAGUGAAAUGCGUAGAUAUGCGGAGGAACACCGAUGGCGAAGGCAGCUCCCUGGGCCUGCACUGACGCUCAUGCACGAAAGCGUGGGGAGCAAACA